AGGUAGAGAAUACUAAGGCGAUCGAGAGAACUGUGGUUAAGGAACUCGGCAAAAUGCCCCCGUAACUUCGGGAGAAGGGGGACCAGUCCUGGUGACGACAUUUACUGUCUGAGCUGGGGUUGGUCGCAGAGACCAGAGAGAAGCGACUGUUUACUAAAAACACAGGUCCGUGCGAAGUCGUAAGACGAUGUAUACGGACUGACGCCUGCCCGGUGCUGGAAGGUUAAGAGGACCGGUCAGCCACUUCGGUGGCGAAGCUGAGAAUUUAAGCCCCAGUAAACGGCGGUGGUAACUAUAACCAUCCUAAGGUAGCGAAAUUCCUUGUCGGGUAAGUUCCGACCUGCACGAAUGGCGUAACGACUUCUCUGCUGUCUCAACCACAGACUCGGCGAAAUUGCAGUACGAGUAAAGAUGCUCGUUACGCGCGGCAGGACGAAAAGACCCCGGGACCUUCACUAUAGCUUGGUAUUGGUGUUCGGUUCGGUUUGUGUAGGAUAGGUGGGAGACUGUGAAACUCGCACGCCAGUGUGGGUGGAGUCAUUGUUGAAAUACCACUCUGACCGUAUUGGACAUCUAACCUCGGACCAUGAUCUGGUUCAGGGACAGUGCCUGGUGGGUAGUUUAACUGGGGCGGUUGCCUCCCAAAAAGUAACGGAGGCGCCCAAAGGUUCCCUCAGCCUGGUUGGCAAUCAGGUGUUGAGUGUAAGUGCACAAGGGAGCUUGACUGUGAGACGUACAUGUCGAGCAGGGACGAAAGUCGGGACUAGUGAUCCGGCACCGGCAAGUGGAAGCGGUGUCGCUCAACGGAUAAAAGGUACCCCGGGGAUAACAGGCUGAUCUUCCCCAAGAGUCCAUAUCGACGGGAUGGUUUGGCACCUCGAUGUCGGCUCGUCGCAUCCUGGGGCUGGAGUAGGUCCCAAGGGUUGGGCUGUUCGCCCAUUAAAGCGGCACGCGAGCUGGGUUUAGAACGUCGUGAGACAGUUCGGUCUCUAUCCGCCGCGCGCGUAAGAAACUUGAGGAAACCUGUCCCUAGUACGAGAGGACCGGGACGGACGAACCUCUGGUGUGCCAGUUGUUCCACCAGGAGCACCGCUGGUUAGCUACGUUCGGAAGGGAUAACCGCUGAAAGCAUCUAAGCGGGAAGCCUGUUCCAAGAUGAGGUUUCUCACCACCUAGCGUGGUUAAGGCCCCCCACAGACCAUGGGGUUGAUAGGCCAGAACUGUAAGCACAGCAAUGUGUUCAGGUGACUGGUACUAAUCGGCCGAGGGCUUAC
rnacentral:rRNA from 1 species